UACGGAGGAUCCGAGCGUUAUCCGGAUUUAUUGGGUUUAAAGGGUGCGCAGGCGGGAGAUUAAGUCGGUGGUGAAAUUUUGCAGCUCAACUGUAAAAGUGCCUUCGAAACUGGUUUCCUUGAGUGUAGAUGAAGUAGGCGGAAUUUGUGGUGUAGCGGUGAAAUGCAUAGAUAUCACGAGGAACUCCGAUUGCGCAGGCAGCUUACUAAACUACUACUGACGCUCAGGCACGAAGGCGUGGGGAUCAAACAGGAUUAGAUACCCGUGUAGU
rnacentral:rRNA from 1 species